rnacentral:lncRNA from 1 species
GAAAAGGCACAAUUCCAAUGUAUCAUUUACAAUUGAAUGUUGUUAACCUGGCUUUGUUGUUUGGAAGAACAAUCCUCUUGUUAGGGUUAGGUAAUUACUCCCUUCCCUUACUCCUGGACAGUGAGAGGGGUCUGACAUUGGGAUAUGGUGUCCCAGGAGCUUAGCUGGUCAGGUGUGUGGAACCCAAAGGAGCAAAGAGCCAAGACAGCCCCUUGGAGAGAGAGAGAAAUGAAAACCAAGCAAGCUGUUAAAUUGAAUAUCACUCAGGAGUUAGGUAGAAUGAAAUAAUUCAGCCUUGGGACGACGGGACAAAAACCAGAUGAAAGCAAUGGGGAUUUCGAGAUGGCAAAGGGUACAGAGAAGUCACAAGAGCAAGG